AUGAGAGGGAGGCAGAUUACGGCCGAGCAGCAGUAAUCCUGCCAAAACCCGCCCUGACGUCCAACAGCUCUUAACCUGUCUGAUGCCUUGGGCUAAGGGAGAGGGCUGCCCGCGGGUGCCAGCCACCAGCAGCUCUGCCUGAUUCACCUUCCAAGGGCAGCUCUGCCAACAAUAUUUCCAGGGUGCUGCAGGCUCGGAGCAACGAAGCAAAUGAAGCGUUGUGGUCUUACUGCAAGGCAUCGCCUCCCUGCACGUCCAGGGGGACACGGUGUCACCCCCUGUGGGGACUUUUCAUGGGGUAACGGGGACUAGAGGUGGGAGCAGGAGGAAUUGGUGGCAUCUGACACAUCGAUGGCAGAGCUUAUUGACAACCUUUUCUAUAAAUUUUCCCUAUAAGUAUCUCCUGAAAUGGGAAGUUUAUAGCAACCAGGAUUAAGCAGAUAAAACCGAGGUCUGGGAAGGGGAAUUGCUUGGUUGGAGCUGAGAUCAGGUCUGGUUNNNNNNNNNNNNNNNNNNNNNNNNNNNNNNNNNNNNNNNNNNNNNNNNNNNNNNNNNNNNNNNNNNNNNNNNNNNNNNNNNNNNNNNNNNNNNGUUUUGUCACAGGGGCUGGGACUGUCUGCAUCUCCUCAGUGCCUUUCACAGGUUUUAAAAUAAGGCAAAGUAUUGAUAAGGCAGCUAUAAAAACAGGAUUCCCCCAGUGAGGCAGGAAGCUCAAACUCUUUUUUAUCUGCAGGUUUAGAAGCUAUUUCUGAGAGCGUAGCACAAAGUGAGUUGGCCUCAGAGAAAAGAACUUUUUUUUUUUUUUAACUGUUACAUUGUCUUUCAAAUACACUUUGUCUUCCCAUAAGAUGGGAUCAAAGGGACGUGGUGAGCUAAGUGCCUGCAAUGGUCGAGUUUAGGUAGGCUGAAAGUUUUCUUUCCUCAUUAUUUCAGUGGAAGUCCUCAAAGGAAUCUCAGGGAAAGCAAGAGGAAGCCUACGUCAACCCUCAAAGCUUGACAGAAGCAAACGCGACAGAGCAUGCAUUGAUUUCUUAGAGAAACAAAGAAGAAACCAGGCUGUUCACAGAAAAUCUCCCUCUUCGGAACCAGCCUCAAAAUUUAGCUUCAGAAGCAGUUGCAGCUUCCCCUGCCGCAGCAGACGUACAGAGCUGAUGUCCGUGCACAACCAGAGAAAGAGACAGAGGAUCACAGGACCAUGCCCUGGAGGUGACAUUUGCAGGAGAGGAGGGAAAGACAUCAGAGGGGCUCUGUGGGGAAUGUCUGUGUAGAUGGAGCGUGUUCUCACUCUGAUAUCCGGCAUUUAGAAACACUAUUCCAAAGACAGCAUGUACGGAAAUACAAGAGAGAAAAACCAGCCUCAAGCUUAAACUUUUUAGAAAGAGAGGUCAGAGGUGACUUGCUCAGAGUUGAAAUGGGGAAGAGAUUUUUGAGCACAAAGCCAGCACUAACUGACCAGAUGUAAUAUUUAGUGACUGGAAGCUGCAGACAGAUUUCUGGUGAAAUGAAAAAAGUAAGCUCAUCAGUGAGGAUAACUUAAAACUUAUCUGAAGAUGCAGGGAGUCUUGGAAGCUUUACACUGAGAUGUUCAUGAGUUCAACUAUGAGACAUUGGCUGGUCAUGGGUGUUCUGGGUGAAUUUCCCUCAUUCAUGAUCUGCAGUUUGGGGUAGAUGAUGGCAACAGUUCCUUCCUACCUUCAAGUCCUGUGUUGCUAUUGUUUGUAAUGAAACUACUCUGUGGAGUGAUCUUCUAGUCUCCAUGGCUCUCAGCAGAGCAUUUCUGCCAAAGAGGGAAUGUACUUUGAAUACACACUGAAGAACAAUGAAGGUGUCUUGUUGGCAGUGUCUGCUAUAUUAGUCUUUGAUAAGGGAUGCAGAUACCUUACAUUAUUUAGAUGAAAAGGGCCACUUAGUUUGUCUGAAUGUCAGAUCUCCUGGGUGAGAGCAACCAAUUUAUUUAUAAGAAGAACUGCACUUUGUGUGUCUGGAGGGAAUAUUGAUUAAAGGAAAGGUUGGAAAGGAGAUGCAGGAUAGGACAGGCUGGGAGAUGACCGACAGAUUAACACAGGUUAAUUCUGAAAGGGAGAAAAUGAUUCUUUCCAAAUAGCGAGCAGGGAUGGAGGAAACCAGAGAAAGCCUUCAGAGCUUUUAGAUGUGUCAUUUGUAUCCCAGACAUGUUGGGAUUUUCCUUCAGAGAUGCAACACUCUUGACCGAUGAAUGGCCCCAGAGUCGUGAGGAGCUGAGAUGGUAACAUUGCCAUCGGUGUUGCU
ensembl:lncRNA